UACGUAGGAGGCGAGCGUUGUCCGGAAUUACUGGGCGUAAAGCGCGCGCAGGCGGUUCUCCAAGUCAGUGGUGAAAGCCCGGAGCUCAACUCCGGAACUGCCAUUGAAACUGUUGAACUUGAGGACGAGAGAGGUGAGUGGAACUCCCAGUGUAGAGGUGAAAUUCGUAGAUAUUGGGAAGAACACCGGUGGCGAAGGCGGCUCACUGGCUCGUUUCUGACGCUCAGGCGCGACAGCGUGGGGAUCAAACAGG
rnacentral:rRNA from 1 species